GCGCUGGUACAGCUCAGUGGUUACUUCUUCACGUAACUUCACUGCAAGUUUAACUGAUCUCUGUCCCGGUCGCGGGAUCGAACCACGGGCGCUGCCCAGCGUUUUU
ensembl:vault_RNA Vault Vault RNA